AGCUGAUGAUCAGUCUGCAAUGGUAUAUAUAUUGGCAACACAGAAGGAGAUAUGGGGUGAUAAGGUUUAUCUUGAGAAUGCUUAUUACUUGCACGGUUACUGGGGAAUUCUGGUAGAUAAAUAUGAAGAGAUGAUUGAGAAUUACCACCCUGGUCUUGGUGACCAUAGGUGGCCACUUGUUACUCACUUUGUGGGUUGCAAGCCUUGUGCAAAGUUUGGAGAUUAUUCGGUAGAGAGGUGCUUGAAGCAAAUGGAUCGUGCAUUCAACUUUGGUGACAACCAGAUCCUGCAGAUGUAUGGAUUCACUCAUAAAUCACUUGGUAGUAGGAGAGUGAAGAGAACACGUAAUGAAACAAGCAAUCCACUUGAAGUGAAUGAUGAGCUUGGAUUACUUCACCCUCCAUUUAAAGCUGUCAAGGUACCAUCUUCUUGAAUGCAUAUGAAAGGGAUCAUGCAUUAAGGUCAAGAUUGGGAUACCCUUUUAACCUUAAAUUUUUGUACCAUUUGAUCACAAUAUGUGCCACGCUGUACUUGUUAUUAUGCCUGUCUUAGAGCACUGGUUAUUGUAUUCCUUCAUUUGUCAUAGUGUUUUGUGACAUAAUCUUUUU
rnacentral:misc_RNA from 1 species